CAUUCUUUAAUUACAGUAUAUAUAGUUUAAAUUAAUGAAGCAAAUGUCUACGGCCAUACCUAGGCGAAAACACCAGUUCCCGUCCGAUCACUGCAGUUAAGCGUCUGAGGGCCUCGUUAGUACUAUGGUUGGAGACAACAUGGGAAUCCGGGGUGCUGUAGGCUUUUUGCUUUUUUGU